GGUUGACCUAGUUCAGCCCGCAUAAGGAGGCUUAAAGCUGUGCCUAGGACCCCAGCUCAGGCACCGAACAACAGCUGCCUGGAGCUAUGGGAGGGGCAAUAAAAGGACUGCUGUGGCCACCACAACUGGGACUGCACUGUGUCAGAUCUGAAGCGAGCACAGCCCUGAGUCUCAUCCAGAGCCCAUUAUAACCAUUGCUUGGCCAACAUCUAUGUUUGUUCAAACCUCAGCGCUCUACAGUCAGCAGAUGGCAAAGCCAACAAGGCUUUUCUCUUUCCCUUUAGGGUGGAAAGUUUCCCCCCAGCCCAGAAAUGGGGUUUCACCGUGUUGGCAUGCUGGUCUCAAAC
rnacentral:lncRNA from 1 species